rnacentral:rRNA from 1 species
CAAGUCGAGCGAGGCCUGGGGGGCAACUCCCAGAGUCGAGCGGCGGACGGGUGAGUAACACGUGGGUAACCUGCCCGGAAGUGGGGAAUACCUCGGGGAAACUCGAGCUAAUACCGCAUGACAUCUUCGGGACGAAAGUCCUGACGAUCAAAGCGGGGUCGCAAGAUCUCGCGCUACCGGAUGGGCCCGCGCCCGAUUAGCUAGUUGGUGAGGUAACGGCUCACCAAGGCUUCGAUCGGUAACCGGCCUGAGAGGGCGAUCGGUCACACCGGAACUGAGACACGGUCCGGACUCCUACGGGAGGCAGCAGUGGGGAAUCUUGCGCAAUGGGCGAAAGCCUGACGCAGCAACGCCGCGUGGAGGAUGAAGGCCCUUGGGUUGUAAACUCCUGUCGGCUGGGAAGAAAUCGUUCGUGGCUAAUACCCACGGACGUUGACUGUACCAGCAAAGGAAGCCCCGGCUAACUCUGUGCCAGCAGCCGCGGUAAUACAGAGGGGGCCAGCGUUAUUCGGAAUUAUUGGGCGUAAAGGGCGCGUAGGCGGCCAUGCGUGUCUUCCGUGAAAUCCCUCGGCUUAACUGAGGACGUGCGGAAGAAACUGCAAGGCUCGAGUCCGGGAGAGGGGGGUGGAAUUCCCAGUGUAGCGGUGAAAUGCGUAGAUAUUGGGAGGAACACCGGUGGCGAAGGCGGCCCCCUGGACCGGUACUGACGCUGAGGCGCGAAAGCGUGGGUAGCAAACGGGAUUAGAUACCCCGGUAGUCCACGCCGUAAACGAUGGGCACUUGGUGUCGCGGGUAUCGACCCCUGCGGUGCCGAAGCUAACGCAUUAAGUG